GACUAUAGCUCAGUGGUGGAGCACUUGCUUUGCAUGCAGAAGGUUCCAGGUUUAAUCAUCAAUGGCAUCUCCAGGUAGGGUCA